CGUAAUACUAAAUGAUUCUGGUAUGUAAUUAUUGAAUGACGGCGUGAACAAAUGGAGGCGAUCGACGAGAAAACAUUCAAGUUAGAAUAAGUAAGAAACUUUAUUUACGUUUAGAUCGUGUUAUGCGAACUGACUGGAUGUCUGGGAUGUAAACAAGCUGCUAAUGUUGACAUCGGGAACUGCCGGAGCGGAACAGAAGCUACUAUUAAAUAAAUAUCAUUAAAUUAGGGAUUCCAGUUCGGCCAUAAUAUUGCACUAAUCUGAUAUUGAAGAGAGAAUUCAUGCCGAAUCAAAAACCCGGGAUAGAUAUGAUUGCGCAAAGAUGUUAGAACCAUUUCAUAUGCAAGAUCCACAUUUACAUCGUUGUUGAAUUGAAAACCCGUCGAAGAUGCGGUUGUGCAGAGAUGUUCCGGAUAUAGUACAGGUGAUUUUUUGUUUUUCAUUAUUGGCUUUUUUUUAUCUGUUCUCAUGUGUUAUGUGCAUCCUCUUAUAAUCUAGCGUUUUUUUUUACAACCGUAUUUCUGAGUCUUUUACAGCCAUACUAAUGUAGUUAGUUAAAACUAUGUUUAUGCUUACAAUUGUUGAUUCAAAUGUCUACGAAGUGGACAUGUUGAAGUGGAACGAAUUCGAAAGUUACAAUGACUACUAACUAUAAAAUAAAUAAUAUUACCGUUAGGCCAUAACAUGAUAUUAGGGCGAUGAUUGUUGUCAAACUCAUGAAUUGAAGACUCAAGGGAGACGAUCAAGGAUUGAUAAGAAUUUAUUUAAAGCCAUACGUGCACAAGCGCGGGCAAUAUAAUAAAUAUAUAUACUACAGUCUUGGAAGUUUUAUGAUUUCGUAAGUGUCAUUGUAUUGUCUUAAUAUAAUACACUUUACAUAAAUCUGAUGACAUAUGAAGGUUUCAUACUAAUGGGCUCUUGCGCAGUUCAGUACCACAAUCCCAACCCCCAUCUGACUACGUCAUUUAAAAAUUAUGUCACUACGACAUCACAAUCACGUCAUAGGGCUUGUGAAAUAUACGUACGACUGCCCGGAAUGGCAUCGGCGCCGACGAUAAGGACUCACUAACGUCAGCGAUCUCUCUCAUACUGAAAUCGUCGCGACGAAAAAACGAGUGAAAUAGCUGUUCGAUUUCGGGUGCGUCGACGAGCGCGUUUUGGAUGACAGUCGCAUAUUUUGAAGGGCUAUAUUACGUCGCAAUGACGUAAUUUUUGGAUGGAGUAGUCAGGUGGGGGUUAGGAUUGACAUGUAAAAAAAUUGUUAUGCUACGCCCACUGGAAGUAUGUAUGGUACUAAAUUAUACUAGACCUCAUUUGUUGUAGGUGCAUUCAAAUUUACAUUUUAAAUACAUAUAUUUCCAAUGUAUUCUUCGUUUCGGCUGUUUCACAAAUAAUUUUCAUUAUAACGGCUAUUAAGAAAUGAUCUGACUUCCUUUACAGCUCUCGUUUCUUUGCGGGCGAUAUAUGUUUUUUUUUACAGUUAUACGCUUACUUAUGCAGUUGAAUAAUAUUAGGCAUAUAUUGAUUUGGGGUGGAAUAGAAUCAGAAAUUCUGGAAUUGUGAGCAUCUGGAUCAGAUGGAGGAAAUGCGGUUUGGAGUAUAUGUUCAGUUAAGUAUGAUGUAUUGGAGUGGUAUUGAUGGAUGUGCAUCUGCAGUCCGAUUAAAGUCGUUCAUUCUUCCAAAUUUCUUAUUUUGUAAAACCAAUGCCCUUGUAAUAUUUCCAUCAACCAUUGCGAUUCUCUUCUUCUUUUUCUUAAUGAAAGCAAUAAGUAAGAAGUACGCAAGGCCCUGUUUCACGUCCUAUAGCAAUUCCGAAGUUUCCCACUACUAAAUUGCCUUUUCAGUUUUCGUUUGCAGUAAUAUACACGUGCAGACGAAAGUGGAUAAAAGACGAACAUUAGCAUGACUGGACAUGGUAGAUAAACUUGAAAUCUGUGAUUGAAUUUUUUCAAGCGCAAAAGGAAACCUUUUCCAUUUGGGAAGCAAGAGGAGUGACUUUCCGAUGCGUCUCAAAUAUAAGAAAGUAUGUAA